UUUAAUCCCAGCAGAGGCAGGCG
rnacentral:piRNA from 1 species